AUGAAGUCGGAAUCGCUAGUAAUCGUGGAUCAGAAUGCCACGGUGAAUACGUUCCCGGGCCUUGUACACACCGCCCGUCACACCAUGGGAGUGAGUUGCAAAAGAAGUAGGUAGCUUAACCUUCGGGAGGGCGCUUACCACUUUGUGAUUCAUGACUGGGGUGAAGUCGUAACAAGGUAACCGUAGGGGAACCUGCGGUUGGAUCACCUCCUUACCUUAAAGAAGC
rnacentral:rRNA from 1 species